rnacentral:rRNA from 1 species
AUUGAACGCUGGCGGCAGGCCUAACACAUGCAAGUCGAGCGGAGCGGCGGACGGGUGAGUAAUGCCUAGGAAUCUGCCUGGUAGUGGGGGAUAACGUCCGGAAACGGGCGCUAAUACCGCAUACUAUCAGAUGAGCCUAGGUCGGAUUAGCUAGUUGGUGGGGUAAAGGCCUACCAAGGCGACGAUCCGUAACUGGUCUGAGAGGAUGAUCAGUCACCAUUGAACCUAGACACGUGCCAGACUCCUAAGUGAGGCAGCCGUGGGGAAUAAUUGACAAGUGGGGAAACCCGGAUCCAGCCAUCCCGCGUGGAUGAUGAAGGCCUUCGGGUUGUAAAGUACUUUUGGCAGAGAAGCGGUAUCUGCAGAAUAAGCACCGGCUAACUACGUGCCAGCAGCCGCGGGAAUAC